GACGAACGCUGGCGGCGUGCUUAACACAUGCAAGUCGAACGGUAAGGCCCUUCGGGGUACACGAGUGGCGAACGGGUGAGUAACACGUGGGUGAUCUGCCCUGCACUUCGGGAUAAGCCUGGGAAACUGGGUCUAAUACCGGAUAGGACCACUGCCUGCAUGGGUGGUGGUGGAAAGCUUUUGCGGUGUGGGAUGGGCCCGCGGCCUAUCAGCUUGUUGGUGGGGUGAUGGCCUACCAAGACGACGACGGGUAGCCGGCCUGAGAGGGUGACCGGCCACACUGGGACUGAGAUACGGCCCAGACUCCUACGGGAGGCAGCAGUGGGGAAUAUUGCACAAUGGGCGCAAGCCUGAUGCAGCAACGCCGCGUGAGGGAUGAUGGCCUUCGGGUUGUAAACCUCUUUUAGCAGGGAAGAAGCGAAAGUGACGGUACCUGCAGAAAAAGCACCGGCUAACUACGUGCCAGCCGCCGCUGUAA
rnacentral:rRNA from 1 species